CGAGCCUCUCUCCCACCCUCUUCUCCUUCUCUCACCCAGCCGGUGCCAGGGAGACUGUCUCUUUCCCCGGGCCUCCCUUUCCCUCUGGGUCUCUGGGUCUCUGGGUCUCUGGCUCCCUCUGCGUCUCUCUCUCCCAGCCCCCUGGUCUCCCAGUCUCUGUGUCUCCCCGUGUCUUUCUGCGGCUCCCACGCUCUCUGUCUCUCCGAAUCUCUCUCCCACCCCCUUCUCUCUAUCUCUGUCGCUCGGGCUCGUUCUGUCUCAGUGUCACUCGGGCUGUCUCACGCGCGUUCUUUCUCCGGAGCGGGUCCCACCGUCCGCUCGCCGGUGCGCCGCCUGCUCGCCUCAGCCCUGGGAACGCAGCGCGGCGCUUGGAAGGAAAGGGUUAAGACCACCGAGAAGAGCCGCCCUCCGGAGGCUAGAGUGGCCGCGUGUGGGAAGGCGGAGUCUGCGGGCCUGGCGUGCGUCAGAGGGCAGGGACGCCUGGGAGAAGAACGGGGACCUGGGUUCGCUGCGGCUGCUGCAGUGCGAGUCGGGAAGGGGCAGCAGGAUUUCUCCGCGGGGCGGCCAGCAUUCGCAAUCCCAUGCUCUGUGGUGAACACACCCAAAGGCUAUAUAUGGCCCUCUUUAAUUCCUCUGAGUGCAACGUGCCUAAGUAUGCAGUGAAGCGUGUGCUGUGGACAGGGCAACAAUAAAUGAGAAAAAAUGAAAAUGUCACCAGUCCCACCACCACCAUUCCCAACCCCUAAGCCUGCCUGGAGUGUAAGCUAGAAUCCCAGGAGCCCUGGCAUGCAGCUCUCCACACCCACGUGUCUCCCUGCCAGGAGAUGAACCGAAAGAAGAGCUAUCUGCUGACCCGCAGAUACCGUACUGUGACUGGAUGGUCCUCAUUGUUCCAACACCACGUCCAUCUGUGAAACACGGGCCUCCGUCAGGAAUUUAGAGACAAACAGUGCCCAAAGAAGUGUUUGCGAUGGCUUCAGCACAGCUUUGGAGUCGACCAGAUAUGGAAGCAUCGUGAUGUGGGGCCCACCAGACUGAGGAUGGAAGCCUAGUUCUUCCUGUGCAGAUCUCUGUUCUUCAGCUUUCCCCACUCUACAGUGUGGAUAAUCAGAGUGCCCAUCUGCUACGCCUACCCCUCCCUGGUGAGAAGACUUCCCCAGACUUCACACCUCCAGAGACUGGCAGCGGGGCUGCACAGCAAAUAGUGCUCUGAGGCCAAGGAGCAAGGGUCCUGGGAUCCAGGCCCUCAAUUGUGUGGGUGAAGAGCCGCAGAGGUGCACCUGCUGUGGUUACUUUCUGGGUGCCGGAGACGCCUAGGAGGAGGUAGACCAUAACAUCUCAGGACAAGAUGGGUAUGUCCUGUUUGUGCCUGGGUGGGACGCCCCGUUUCCCUUGUCACUGAGAUUUCGACAAUUGUAGCUGAGGGAGAUGCCACAUGUUUCUAAACAUUGGCAGGAAUAUGACCCCAGGGCAGGGUCCAAAGGAAGCUGACUAAACUGAAAGUCUCGAUAAGGACUGUGGGCUGUUAGGAGCUGAAGUGGACAAGGACUCAGGAUAAUCUCUCACUGUUUCUGGACAGUCGUGGAAAUGAAACAUCAGGAGGAGGUCACAGACACCUGUCUGAACUUGGGUAUGUGACAAUGUCUCUCUUCCUGGAGUGGAACCUGCACAUAGCCCAGAUGUUUCAAACCUUGGAAUACAGAACCAAAGGCAGACCGUGCCUCUUUCUGUGACACAGAUCUGCCCUCAGCUCAGAACCAUCACACCCCGGACGUGGACUUUCAGACACGUCAGGGACCUCACCCUGUAGGUCACCAGACACCAAAUACUCCAGUGCCAUGCAGAACCCAGAAAGAAACCCAGGAACGCACAACUCAGAGACCUCAAAUUUUUGGACACACAAUAUCACACAAUGGAGUGAACUCGGCGAAUGAGACCAGGGACCCCGAGGAGCCCAGAGAAGUCCAGUUCUGAAAUACAGACCCAUAUGCAUGUCAGCAAUGGCAGAGCCCAUGACUUAAAACCCCACAUAGCUCCCAGACCUCCCACCCUGGACAUAUAGGCUGACAAAAUCAUGGCGCCCACACCCUGGUAUGCGGGCACAUGCACAUCUGAGAGGACUGGUACUGAGGACACACAGACCUCGUACAUGGGGUUAUGUGCAACAGACAUCUCAGAAAAGUGAGAGCGUGGUGCACAAAUUCCCACAAACCCCAAAGUUUGCAAACGAGGACAUGGUCAGCCCCUCAGAUUUCCAGCAACCUCAGUCCCUGGGAUGCAGACUUAUAAUCGGGUCACAGAGGUCACACUCAAAAUGCAGAACCCAGAAGGGAUAGCAUCUGUGAUCUCACGAGCAUAGGGUGAGGGAUGCCAGGGUGCAUCACAUCUUGCACAUCAAUGCUCUGCAGAACUCAAACCCUAAUUCUGGAAAUACAGAAUGAGAACUACAAAGAAUGUAUAUGGUAGACAUGGCCCCCAGAAGAGAUCAGACCUCACACACCAGCACACACAUUCAUAAAGAGCCCAGAGAUCCCUCACCCUGGACACAACCCCCACAUCCUGGACGGACAUCCUGAAACAACUCAGACACCUGACAACCUGUAAUGGGCCAGGGACCUCACAACCUGGACAGAGUUUGAAGCAACUCAGAGAUGUGAUGUAUGGCCUUAGCAACGCCCACAGGGUCACAUCUUACAUGAUCCAUGCCAGAUAGUGAGUGCCACAGCGAGGUUUCACCCAGUCUCAUGAGUGAGACAUGGAUGGAAUGAGUGAAAGGUAGAAAUAGGGGAGAAUGAGAACAAGGCAGACUUUUCUGUAAAUCUGUCUCCACCGAAUGAACGCCUACCUCUGGACCCUGGUCCAGGCCCCUGAGUAAUCUCCUUUUUCAGGGGAAUGAAAACCCAGGUUCUGCCAUCAGAGGCUGUUUCUGGGCAGUGAUUCAGCUAUGCCUGGUCCUGACGCACCCUGGAUCCCUGUGCCUGUCAACGUGGGGAUGUGUCCUAGGUCAGGUGUAUUGUGCCAUCCUGGAGGGGAACCACCACUGCCCUCAGGCCUGAGGUGCCCUUGUGCCACAGAGUCACUGUCUGGGUAAGGAGAGGCUGAGUGUGUGCCUGUGAACCAGGAUGGCCCUGUGGUGCUCAGAGCAGAGCCGAUGCUCCUGGGAACCCACCUCCUGCUCAACAGUGGACUGCCUGGCCAGCAUCCUGUUCACCCUGAAUGGUGUCAUUCUGACUCUUGAGCAUGCAGAUCCAGGUGGCCUUCGGCCCCUGACUUCCUCUGCCCUCCUCAGCCCUGAACAGAAGGCCCCCUAAGAAUCCUUUGAGAAUGAAUGGCCCAAGGUGAAAGGGGGAGAUGGUGGAAGUGUUUGCAGUGGUGUAUCAGGGCUGUAUGGCACAGACCACACACCCGAUACAGAAGGGCACCACUGUCCCUCCCACCCUUCCCCCUCAGCAUCCCCUCACUCCCUUUCCUUUCUGUCCUUCUCAGGACAUGCUCAGAGUAUGCUUGUUCCCUCCUCCCAAUUUGUAAAUCAGGUAAGUAUAAAGAGGUUGGGGUGUGAGGGUCUCUCUACUUACAUAUGGCUUGGUGUAAGUUGACAUAGUGCAGACAUCUUCCUACACACUCACACCAUGAGAGCAACCCUGGGGUUGGGCUGUCUGUUCGUGGGCAGUCACAGCUGGGAGGCUGUGCUGUUUGGGGACUGAGGCUGAUGGAGCCUUGCUGGUGGGCCUUGUCUUCCUGGGCGACACAUACACUGGCCCAUCUCUGAUUCCCUGGUGGAUCUGCACUCUCUGAGGUCUCAGUCUCAUACCUGUAACCUUCCUGCUGGAGAGCUGUGAACAAAGUCGGGACUUAACUGAUGCCUGGUGACAAGUUCAUUCCCUUAAUCCACCUGUCCGCUAAUUACCAAGAUGCUCUCAACAUCUCUAACUGCCUGAUGCCUAAAAAGCAUGUCAUUUAAGCAUUUACUUCUUUUUAUUGAGCAGGUUUCCAUCCCCAUGGAGGAACCAAACCCCCUUUGAACUGUCUCUGCACAUCUAGGACCCACAGGCAAUGGUAUAAUUCUAAUGAAGUGAAAGGCUCCUGUAAAGAGGAUGUGGAGCAGAAGGAACACUCUUAAGCCAGUGGUGGGAUUAUAAAUGAGUACAACCACUAUGGAAAUCAGAAUGGAGUCUCCUGAAAAGACUAGGCAUGGAACCCCCAUAUGACCCAGCUAUACCGCUCCUCAGUAUUUAUCCUGAAGAACUAAAGUCAUGGUACAGUGAUACAUGCAUACCCAUCUUCAUAGCAGCACAAUUCACAAUAGCCAAACUACGGAACCAGCCUAUUUGUGCACUGGAUGAAUGGAUAAAGAAAAUGUGGUAUGUAUACAUGAUGGAGUUUUAUUAAGCCUUAAAAAAGAAUGACAGUAUGUCAUUUGCAGGAAAACGGAUGGAACUAGAGACCAUUAUGUUAAGCAAGAUAAGGCAAGGUGCAACCAUCAAAGGAGCUAUGUUUUCUCCUAUAUACUGAAGGUAGAGAGGAAAAAGGAAAAGAAAGAUGGAACUCAAGGGAGGUCUGUAGAGGAAAGUGACCAAGGAGUGGGAGAUGGGGUUGGAGGUAAGUAAGUAGUGCUGAGAGUGACAUUAGCUAAAUUACAUUGUUUUGUGUGCAUGUACAAAUAUGUAACAUGAAAUCUCAUCAUUAUGAGGACUAAUAAAAAUGUGGGCAAAAUGUUCCCACAAUAGCCAAAACAAUCUUGAAAAAGAACAAAGUUGCAAGACUCACACUCCCAGAUUUGAAAACGUACUAUAAAUUUAAUGUAGUCAAGGCAGUGUGGUACUAACCAAUAAGUAUAGAUAGUAGCACAAAAUGAAGUGUUCCAAACGCCAUAUUUGUAUGGUGGAUUGAUUGUUCUCAAGGGUGCCAAGGCUGUUACCUAGCAAAUAAUAGUCUUUUCAGCUGAUUGUUCUGGGAUAACUGGAUGUCCAUAUGCAAAGGGAUGAAUUUAGACCGGUGUGUCACACUGUCUACAAUUAAAAUGAAUUAUAGGGCUGGGAUAUAGCUCAGUUGGUAGAGCAUUUGCCUUGUAAGCACAAGGCCCUGGGUUCAAUCUCCAGCACUGCAACAACAAAAAAAUUACACUUAAAUGUAAGACUUAAAACUAAAAUUAUCAGAAGAAAACAUACGUAAAUCUUCAAAACCUUGAUGUAGGCAACAAUUUACUAGAUGUGACAUGAAUACACAAACAGCAAAAGAUAAUACAGAUAAUGUGAAAUCACCAAAAUUUGAACUUUUAUGCUUCAGAGGACACCAUCAAGAAAAUGAAAAAAGGGCUGGGGUUGUAGCUCAGUUGUAGAGUGCUUGCCUGGCAUGUGUGAGGCACUGGGUUCGAUUCUCAGCACCAGAUACAUACAAAUAAAUAAAUAUCCAUUGACAACUAAAAAUAUUUUGAAAAAGAAAGUGAAAAUUGGCUGGGGUUGUCCCUGAGUUGUACAGUGCUCACCUAGCAUGCAUGAGGCUCUGGUUUGAGCCUCAGUACUAUAUAAAAGUAAAAAAAUUAAAAAAAGGUAUUGUGUCCACGUACAACUAAAAAAUAUAUUUAAAAAAGUAAGUGAAAAGAGAACCCAAAGUAUAAGAAAAAAUAUUGCAAAUUAUGUAUUUGAUAAGGAACCUGUAUCUAUAAGACACAUCUGACCACCUCUCAAGAGAAAAGACAAACCAAUUAAAAGAUGGGUGAAAAAUAUAAAUCCAAAUUUGUCCAGAGAAGAUAUCCAAAUGGGUGAUAAGCACAUGAAAAUAAGCUCCAUAUCAUUACCUUCAGGGAAAUGCAUACAUGAGUCACAUUGAGGUACCCUUGCCCUCCCAGUAGGAUGGCUUCAGUAGAAAAAUAAGUGUUGGUUAAGUGUGCAGAGAAAUUGAAACCCUCAUUCAUACACUGGUGGUUGCAAUAUCAAAUGAUGUAUUCACUUUGGAAAUAGUCUGGCAAUUCCUCAGAUGUUAAAUAUAGAGUAUCACGCAGCCCAGAUUUCUACUUCUAGGAAUAUAUCUGAAAGAAAUGAAAACAUUCACAGAAAACUUUGUCUAUGGAUGUUCAUGCAUUGUGUAUAAUUGCCAGAAGUGUAAUCAAUAGGAAUGUCGGUGGAGUGACAGAUUGAAAAAUAAACGUGUAUUUGUAUGAAAGAACAUUAUUCAUCAGUAAAAAGAAAUUUACAUUAUGAAACUUGGAAACAUUUUGGCAAGUUGAAGAAGCCAUUCCGAAAGAAACCAUCUGUUAGAUGAUUCCAAUUGUGUGUAAUGUUCAGAAUAGGCAAAUUUAUUUAGUUACUUGAAAUUGAACCCAGGGGUUCUUAACUAUGGAGUCACAUCCCCAGCCUUUUUUGUUUUAAACAUUUUAAGAUUUCUUUUAG